rnacentral:rRNA from 1 species
CUACGGAGGGUGCAAGCGUUGUUCGGAAUUACUGGGCGUAAAGCGCGCGUAGGCGGUCUGUUAUGUCAGAUGUGAAAGUCCUCGGCUCAACCGGGGAAGUGCAUUUGAAACUGGCAGACUAGAGUACUGGAGGGGGUGGUGGAAUUCCCGGUGUAGAGGUGAAAUUCGUAGAUAUCGGGAGGAAUACCGGUGGCGAAGGCGACCACCUGGCCAGAUACUGACGCUGAGGUGCGAAAGCGUGGGGAGCAAACAGGAUUAGAAACCCCAGUAGUCC